GGAGUAUAGCUCAGUGGUAGAGCGCAUGCCUAGCAUGCAUGAGGUCCUGGGUUCAAUUCCCAGUACCUCCA
rnacentral:tRNA from 1 species